AGAGUUUGAUCCUGGCUCAGGAUGAACGCUGGCGGCGUGCUUAACACAUGCAAGUCGAACGGUGAAGCCCAGCUUGCUGGGUGGAUCAGUGGCGAACGGGUGAGUAACACGUGAGCAACCUGCCCCUGACUCUGGGAUAAGCGCUGGAAACGGCGUCUAAUACUGGAUACGAGCCGGAACCGCAUGGUUACUGGUUGGAAAGAUUUUUCGGUUGGGGAUGGGCUCGCGGCCUAUCAGCUUGUUGGUGAGGUAAUGGCUCACCAAGGCGUCGACGGGUAGCCGGCCUGAGAGGGUGACCGGCCACACUGGGACUGAGACACGGCCCAGACUCCUACGGGAGGCAGCAGUGGGGAAUAUUGCACAAUGGGCGGAAGCCUGAUGCAGCAACGCCGCGUGAGGGAUGACGGCCUUCGGGUUGUAAACCUCUUUUAGCAGGGAAGAAGCGAAAGUGACGGUACCUGCAGAAAAAGCGCCGGCUAACUACGUGCCAGCAGCCGCGGUAAUACGUAGGGCGCAAGCGUUAUCCGGAAUUAUUGGGCGUAAAGAGCUCGUAGGCGGUUUGUCGCGUCUGCUGUGAAAUCUGGGGGCUCAACCCCCAGCCUGCAGUGGGUACGGGCAGACUAGAGUGCGGUAGGGGAGAUUGGAAUUCCUGGUGUAGCGGUGGAAUGCGCAGAUAUCAGGAGGAACACCGAUGGCGAAGGCAGAUCUCUGGGCCGUAACUGACGCUGAGGAGCGAAAGGGUGGGGAGCAAACAGGCUUAGAUACCCUGGUAGUCCACCCCGUAAACGUUGGGAACUAGUUGUGGGGUCCAUUCCACGGAUUCCGUGACGCAGCUAACGCAUUAAGUUCCCCGCCUGGGGAGUACGGCCGCAAGGCUAAAACUCAAAGGAAUUGACGGGGACCCGCACAAGCGGCGGAGCAUGCGGAUUAAUUCGAUGCAACGCGAAGAACCUUACCAAGGCUUGACAUAUACGAGAACGGGCCAGAAAUGGUCAACUCUUUGGACACUCGUAAACAGGUGGUGCAUGGUUGUCGUCAGCUCGUGUCGUGAGAUGUUGGGUUAAGUCCCGCAACGAGCGCAACCCUCGUUCUAUGUUGCCAGCACGUAAUGGUGGGAACUCAUGGGAUACUGCCGGGGUCAACUCGGAGGAAGGUGGGGAUGACGUCAAAUCAUCAUGCCCCUUAUGUCUUGGGCUUCACGCAUGCUACAAUGGCCGGUACAAAGGGCUGCAAUACCGCGAGGUGGAGCGAAUCCCAAAAAGCCGGUCCCAGUUCGGAUUGAGGUCUGCAACUCGACCUCAUGAAGUCGGAGUCGCUAGUAAUCGCAGAUCAGCAACGCUGCGGUGAAUACGUUCCCGGGUCUUGUACACACCGCCCGUCAAGUCAUGAAAGUCGGUAACACCUGAAGCCGGUGGCCUAACCCUUGUGGAGGGAGCCGUCGAAGGUGGGAUCGGUAAUUAGGACUAAGUCGUAACAAGGUAGCCGUACCGGAAGGUGCGGCUG
rnacentral:rRNA from 1 species